GCUAUAGAGUGGCGUUUUGGUUGAGGUUUGUGCGUGGAUCCAUAGACAGCUGUGUAUUGCUAUCCUGCCAUCGUUACUAAAGUUGGUAUAACUAGAGAAGAAAGUGGUCGGCAACAUUCAACUCGGUCUAACUUGGUGUUACAUUGUGUUUGACCCUAAUUUAAUUUUAUGCCGUAACAUCCCUUGACGCUACGGUCACAGCUGGAUCAGGCGACUUAGAUGGAAUUUUACCUUCAUCCCUGUUUACAAAAACCAAGCAAGAAGUAAAUUAUUAACAGGAGUAAGUCCACAGCAGCCACAGUUGGUGGCGACAUGACCCCUCUUUCACUCGUAACUGUUGGAUGAUCUCCUGUUAAACGUAUGCAUCAUGCAUAACACUACAGUGUUGGUAACUAGCCAGCAGGAUCUUUGUCUUUUAACGUCCCUUUGUUCGUUUAGGGUUUUAUUUAUUAAAUAGCUUUUAUGUUGAUGAGUCUGGGUCAAAGCCCAGCGUGCAAACUCUGGCGCAUGCACAGAAGGUGAUACACACAGAGGAGAAAAGUAAUCUUGGUAUGUUUGUCUGGGUACGAGAAUUUCAAUAAAGUGUGAUUUCAGUCCAAUUAAUGUUUGCUAGCAGGUUAAAAAAUGAGCUUAUUCAACUUGCUGAGUGCAAUGAGUUAUCACGACUUAAAGCAUAAAAAUAAACAAGAUAAAAUAUUUGCAUUUUUCUUUAGCGUACACAUUUUUAUCAGUAAAGGGGUCUAUAUUGUGUAAUGCGACAUGAAGAAAAAAACAUACAUUUUUAAUUGAUUUUAAUCUUAAAUAAGCGUGCCAUCAGUACAAUAUCUUUAAAGCUUCUUUUCCUUGAAACACACAAUGAUUUUCUAAAUUUCAUUAAAUGCCUACAACGUAAAAACUUCCACUGUGGCUAUCAUUUAUCCUCGCAGUCCCUGGCGUCGUAAAGCGAGCCUAAACAAAAACUGUGAUUCAUUUGUAGUAUGCUCAAGCCCAGUAUUGGUUCCAGCCACUGAUGACUUUGAGAGAAUAAUUAAAGUGCGGGCUAAGUGUUGCUCGGGGAUAUUUUACAUGCAGUAGCAGGGAUGGGACGGUGGAAGCGGCCAGAGAUAUUGAUUACUGCUGGGAUUACAGCACCAUGAGCAUCGCUCUCAGUCCAACAAUGUAAUCAUCAGCCUUCUACUUGUAAUGCGCAGGUCGCCUCAGCCUCACCAGGGGAGGGGAGGAGAAGCACAAGUGGACGCAGAACAGAUGGAUAAUGUUUCAUCUGCCAUUGUCCUUCAACUCAUGAUGAAUUUAAGGUUGAAAUGUGCAGACUGGGAAUUUGCUUUCAUUGAGGGUUUAAAGAAGCUGUGUCUCACCAUAAUUACUUGAAUAUCAGUGUCUAGUGUGUAUUUAUCAUCAAAUAUACCUUUCUGGAAUAGUUGUCGAGUCUUGCACCUGCUCUGUUCAAUGAAUUACAUCCUUGCCAGUGGAAUAGGGCUGCAUUCUUUCCAAGAGUUUAAGCCGAUUGUUUCUCCUUUGCUCAGUGACUGUGGCUGCCACAGCUCUCGAAUGCAUUGAUGUAACUUGGCAGAGACUUAGAAGAAAAAAAAAGAAGACUCCUCUUUGAGAGUUUAAUCUUCAAUAUGCAUGACAGUGCUGAUCCAGCAGUUUCGACUAACUUUAAGACAAAUAUUUUUCACUGGAGUCCAUCUCUCGAAACGAUCAACUUACUCAAUAUCAGCUCAAUCACUGCUAUAUUUAUACCCACAUGAGCUUUUUUAAAAUGCACUUAAGUAUAAAGUGUAACCUCCUAACAAUGCAUCAGUGACUUUAUGGUUUGUUAUUGUAGUGCAUUUGCUUUUAGAUUGAGUAGAAAGUUCCUAUUAAAUGUAAGUGGUGAUAGAUUUCUUUGUACACAAAUGAAAGAAAAUCAAAUAUCCUAAAAAAUUCAAACUUUUCCCAUUUUGUCUUCUAAAUGUGCUCAUUUUAGAACACGACACGAGUUCCAUCCGUUGGUCUAUUUACACCUGGUAUUAACAUACAGCCUGAAAAACCCAAUUUUUCCAGGUGCAAAUGUGUCUGUCACCAGGUUCACGUUAUGAUUGGAUCUCAGUCAGGUGUAAUAGCAAUCUAUAGAGCAGUCUUCAUGUUCAUAUGAUAAAAAAAAAAAAGAAAUUCUCCAGAAAGUGGAAGUAUUUUCAAAUACCAAGGAACUUCUCUUUGGAGCUCCAACCAAACAUGCAAAUACAGAGAAUUCGGGUCUGAAAAUAGAAACACAGGAUGCUUCUUUUUCACAUUUUUCAUUGUUUUGUGAUUUCCUUUCUGUCGCAAAGAUACCAGAUCAGUCAGAUUCAUUUAAUGCUGCUAAAGGUCUUUUUACACGCCACCAAUAAUAUCCUGAUCAGAUUUUUAUCAGGCCAAAACCAAACUGCCCCCUUGGGAUUAUUAAAGUUGUCUGAACUGAAUGGAAAUUAUGUGCAUAAAGGUACAUUUGUGGUGUACUGUAGUCCAGCUUGACUUACAAAUAAGACAUCUUUUUUCAGGCUAAAUUAUGUCAGCCCGUCAUGGCUAUAAAACUGGGCUUCAUUUAGACGAUCCGAAACUAGACGUUGUUUAGACCUACGAUAAGGACGUCUUUUCAACACCUUUUCAACCACUUUCUGCUGGGUGGGAAGGAAGUAACUACCUAACAGUUAAUUAAAAUAUGAGAUGCAAAUAGCUGAGGGAUGAGGAGCCUACCAUGUUGGCGGUCUCUCCGUGCAGAUUCAAAUAAUUUUGAGAGUUAGCUUCUGUUUAAAGAGUCCUUGAUUCCUUGUUGCUCAGUUUUAGUCUCCACCGCCGGCUCAGAAAAGCUGUUUUAGUUGCAUCAGCAGAAUUUAAUAUUGAAUCUUCUUAUCUAUGUAGCUGUGGUCAUUUUAUUAAGCUUAUGUACUCACUCGAUUCCCUGACUUUGCCAAUGCAGUGGUUCAGUCCCACAACAAAUGUUUUUCUUCACAUACAAACCCACGUCAGAAAAGUCCAAAAGUUUACUUUCUUUUCAAACUUUCAUACUGUAUCUGUGAUGGAUUUCCAAGCAUUCACCUCCUGAGGCUUAAAGUCACAUUUGUCAAUGCACUUCCAAAAAUUUAUAUAAAUAUUUGACAUUAUUGUGGACGCUGCACAGUCAGCGAGGUAAUUGUUCUUUGUUUGAAUGCACUUGCUCUUUGAAGAGGGAGUGCUCCUGAGAUGGUCAAGGGUAUUUCUUGGAGUUCUUUGAGGCGCCGUAGCCCUCGGGCGUCCCUUGAAACAACUCCCCCAUCUGAGGCAGAGACGCCGGGACAUCUGAAGCGGAGCGGGCUGGGUGACAUCAUGGUGUUCCUGUCUUCUCCUUGCAAAGUGUCACACUUGGCAACAGUCAGGCAAAACUUUCCUGCAACUUCUUGACAUGUAGGCUUAUAUAAAAUAUUACUGCCAGAGAAGAAGUGUGCAGGAGUAGAAGACUUCUUUAAAUACCUCUGCUUUUAUAUAUUUAUAUCCUUACUCUGAAUGACCCACACAGCUGUUAAUUCUCUCGUGACGCCCACUCCUCAUUACAGAUGACAACAGUUUGUAUUCCUACUGCGUAAAAACAGAGAAAACAGAGUGUAAAUCUCAUAUGUGUUGCAUGCUGGGACGUAUUAGACACUGAAUGGAUCUAUCACCGGGGGGUACCUAUGAAUUGGUUUAUAAUCAGCAGGCAGAGAUGACGGUCCUCGUUGUCAAUACUCAAUCAUGUCAUGCCUGGUGGUGGUGGCAGGGUUCUGGACUUGAUCCUGGAUAAUGACACCAUCCAGCUUCGUAUGGGGAAAAGUGGAGCUACUUACCCUCAGGGGGCUUGAGGGGAGGUAGAUAAGUAUCCUCUACGCGGCUCCUUUCUGACUUAAUAAGUUGACCAAGAAGGAAACUGUAGGUUGUGAUACAAAAACAGACACAAACUCCUCAACUCAUUUUAUCCUGGUGUAACCUCUUAUUUCACUCUUUCUUCAAGUUUACAUAGUGACUCAUCUAUAGAUGUAAGGAUUAUUUAUUUUUGUAAUUGUAUUUGUAGCUGUUUUGAAUGAUAAAUCUUUAUAUAAAUCUCUCAUAGAAGGUGUUCUGAUAUUCUUUUUAGCUCAUCUGCAGCAGAAAGAAAAAAAUAUCUGCACUGACUUAAUAAUAUUUGCCCACUCUUCUUUGCAAAAAUGCUCCAAAUCUGUCAGAUGUGUGGGCAUCUCCUGUGCACAGCCCUCUUCAGAUCACCCCACAGAUUUUCAAUCGGAUUCAGGUCUGGGCUCUGGCUGGGCCUUCCCAAAACUUGAAUGUGAAUGCUUCGGGUCUUUGUGGUGUUGAAAGACGAAGUUCAUUUUCAUUUUCAGCUUUCUAGCUGAAGUCUGAAGGUUUUUUUGCCAACAUCAAGUGAUAUUUGGAACAUUAUGCUGCCACCACCAUGCUUCACCAAGGGUAUCCUGUUCUUUUGGUGGUGUGCGGGGUUGUUUUUGUGCCGAACAUACCUUUUGGAAUUCUAGCUGAAAAGUUCAGCCUUGGUUUCAUGAGACCAUGAGACAUUUUUGCACAUAGCUUUUGAAGGACUUCAAAUGUGUUUUUUGCUAAAUUUAGCCGGGCUUGGAUGUUUCCAGCUUCCGUCUAUCCUAGACAUAUGAAGAACAUGGGAGAUUGUUAUCACUUGCACUACACAGCUACUGAGAUUCCUGCAGCUCAUUAAUGUUGCUGUCGGCCUCAUGCACAGAGAGCUUCUAAUGAGUGCACAUGAGACAAUAUUUUGAGAUGCACAAUUGAAUAAGCCCACUGAGCAAUAGAUGACUAUUGGACGUCUAGUUUUUUCUUUGGACCUAAUUUCAACCGUCUAGAUUCUGUAUAUAUUUAGAUGUGAUUUAGACGUUGCACUGUAACCCAUUAUUCGAUAACCAUUUAUUUCAAAAAGCAACUGUGAGUUGCAUAACUGAUCUCCAAGUACUUAACCAAAAUAAUUAUGAUAGCCGUUGAGCAAUAUACAGCGUAGACCUCUGUUAGCCGGCUAGUCUAAACUUGGUCUAAAUUUAGACGUCUAAAAAUCUUUCAUUUUUAGACCUGUCAUAGCCUGAUUUUAGACCAGUCGUCUUGGCCAGAGGUCUCCAUCCACCGGGCACCGGACUGGUACCGGUCCGUGGAUCAACUAGUACGGGGCCGCAAAAAAAAUAUUGAUGAUUAAGUAAUUUUUUUUCUUUUCAUCCGUCCUCCCGGUAUCUUAUUUUGAAAGAACACCACUUCUGCCAUCGCCUCACUUUCGCGCUUGACUCUUCGGCACGUCUUUUUCCUGCAUCAGCAACACAAGCUAGCCCUCGCAAAAAUGAGCCAAAAACAAAGUUCACUGGAGAGAGAAAAGAUUGAUUCUGCAUUAUGUUGAGUUGAUGUUAAAGUGUAAUGAAAAGUGCCUAAUAUAACAUGUAAUUGUUGUAUCCAGAUUAUAUACGAUGUACUGAUUAAGGCUUUUGUUAUUGGAACCUCCACACUCCAACCCGGUCUUCGGAAAGAGUUUCCUGCGUGAAAACUGGUCCCCGAUACAAAAAGUCUGAGGACCACUGGUCUAGGCUACAUUUAGAUGUCUAUUAAUCUCUUUUAGACCAAAAUGUGCUCAGUGGGAGUUGUGUGCAUAAGAUGAUAAGAUGACAUCCUUGCAAGAUGAUGCAAUUACACACACAAUCCAAUUACACACACAUAUUAAUUAAAAAUGCACAUACAAGAUCACAAAUAGCAUGGAAAAGAUAAUAACUGGUAGACACUGAUUACAAGUGUAUUAUCUCAUGCACACAAGGUAUCUUAUACUCACAAUUAAAAUGAUAACCUUUGUAGGAGCUGCUUGAAAAUCCGAACAAAACAGCUCAGAGACAGAGCUGAAGAAUGAUUAAACUUGGCCGUCUGGUUUUCAUAUAAAACUUGCAGAGAAAAGUGAGCCUCCCAACUCAAACAAAGCAAAAAGCAGGACACACAAGGGCUCCUCACGUACCACUGGUUUUCGAAGUGAAGUACAGCUGGCAAGUAAGCACCAGUAAUUGCGCGGGGUCACCCCUUACAGAUGCCAGUGGUUGAGAUUACACCGUUUGUUUAAAUACAGCCUGGUCAAAAGGAUAAACUCAAAUCAAACGGAACUGAAUUGCCACCUCGGUUUCCACCCUUGUGUGUGUGUUUGCGCUGGCAGCGGGAAACAAGGACAACUGGCACAAUAUUGACAAUCAUCAAACACAGAUGUUCAAACCCAUGCAAAGGUAUUGCUGCUUAUUUGGUUGCGCUCCAAUGUGCAGGAUUAGAUAAGACAACUAAAAAUGAAAGCAUUUGUGAGUCAUAUGGUCAGAGCGGAGGAGCGGGAUUUUCAGCAGGUUCUCAUAAACAAAACAAGUUUUUCUUCCUGGAAAACAAAGAUGUAAUCAAGUCUGUGUUAACAACCGGGGCACACGGCAAUCUAGGAUCAAUUAUUGCUCGCCCUUUAUGCGACACAAUAAACAUGUUGUUUGUGAAACAGCGAGAUUUGUCACUUCAUUCUCGAUCUGCAUCACGGAGAACAACAAAGCGGGAGUGUGAAUUCCUUUGUUUAGGGAAAAGAGCGUCUGCAGGGUGUCUCUGAGGUGGUACUUGUCAUUGAAGGAGGAGAGAGAGAUAACCUGGGGGCUUGCAGAUAAGUGAAUCUAAAGACCUCAAUAAAGCUCGAGCCAGGAGAGAAGGAAGAUGCGGGCAGGUAUUAGUCCAUCCAUCAUUUCCUUCACCCGAUCAGAGAGUACAAAAAUAUACCGCUCCCACCUAAUCUGCCUACUUCUCUCUAUCUUUGUCAUCAGGGCUUCAGAUAACCUGCAGAGGCUAAUCCCCUGAUCAUUGAUGACUAGAGGUGCUGGGCAGUGGGGCUUAUUUACUCAAGGGUCUUCUGCAGUCACUCCUCAGUGUUAAAGGUAAGAAAUUAAAGCCCCUCAUAUUUGUACAUAUGGACGUACCAUGUUGCUGCUGUAAAUCUUACAGAUCAGGUUCACCGCUAUAACAGUAAAUGAAGGUUUAAUCCAAUUAUACAAGCUAAUUAAUAAUUAGAUCUUUAAUGAAAUAAGAUAAAUUCAGACACUGAUACCUGCUAAUUAAUGCUGAUGAUUACAGAUUCGUUUUAAACAGAUGAUGUCUUUCGCAGACAAUUACACGUUAAAUUCUCCUCCUUUCAUCAUUCAAUAUGGUGUUUUUGUUAUAAAACUAACACAGCCAGUAAGAGAGAGUUAUUUAGAUUGAUUAAGUUUGAUUGCUCUGUAAUCUGUUGGUAAUACCAUGAGGAUCCAGCAGAGGGAUCGUGCUCUGCUUAAUCUGAAAAAAAGGAAGAACUGUCACAAGACCCUUCGUAGCAGACCUCCACAGUGAGGACCCACCUCAAGUGAGGUUGAUUUGAAGCCUUUCAAAAUAAAAGCGAUUAGAUCGGGAAGCGAAAUUUUUUUUGUAGGAUCACCUCUGAUUGGCUAGAAGUGAUGUGCUCCAAUUGGUUAUACUUUAUGGCUGUGAAACAUCAUCGUCUGUCAGGUUAGGGUGAGGGUUAGGACUAGGAUUAGGGUUAGGGUUAAGAUUAGGAUUAGGGUUAGGAGAUUCAGAAGUGCGAUAAUGUUCUGUAAUGUUCUGUUCGAUGUACAGAACUGAUAGCCCACGUUUGGCUUCAGUGUGUGAUGACGUUUCCAGCUUUUCUAGCCAAUCAGAGGCGUAGGAGGCGAGACUUUCCCCUGCCAUCCCACAAAAAAUAUAUAUUGUGACCAGGAAGUACGCAUUUUAUCUCUCGUGUGAAUAUAUAUUUUAUUUCUUGGCUCUUUUAUUU
rnacentral:lncRNA from 1 species